rnacentral:tRNA from 1 species
GUGGGUGUCGCCAAGUGGUUAAGGCACUGGGUUGUGGUCCCAGCAUACGUGGGUUCGAUUCCCAUCAUCCACC